rnacentral:rRNA from 1 species
CCUACGGGGGACAGCAGUGGGGAAUAUUGCGCAAUGGGCGCAAGCCUGACGCAGCGACGCCGCGUGAGGGAUGAAGGUCUUCGGAUCGGAAAACUCUGUCAGCAGGGAAAAAAGGUCACUGUGCUAAUCAGCAGUGAAUUGACGGUACCUGCAAAGGAAGCACCGGCUAACUCCGUGCCAGCAGCCGCGGUAAUACGGAGGGUGCGAGCGUUAAUCGGCAUUACUGGGCGUAAAGCGCUCGUAGGCGGUAUGUCAAGUCAAGGGUGAAAUCCCCGCGCUCAACGUGGGAACUGCCUUUGAAACUGGCAAACUGGAGUGUGUGAGAGGAUAGUGGAAUUCCAGGUGUAGGAGUGAAAUCCGUAGAUAUUAGGAAGAACACCAGUGGCGAAGGCGGCUUUCUGGACUGAAACUGACGCUGAGGCACGAAAGCGUGGGGAGCGAACAGGAUUAGAUACCCUAGUAGUC